rnacentral:rRNA from 1 species
AGAGUUUGAUCCUGGCUCAGAAUGAACGUUGGCGGCGUGGAUUAGGCAUGCAAGUCGUGCGCGAACUGUAGCAAUACAGGGAGAGCGGCGAAAGGGAGAGUAUAACGUAGGUAUCUACCCUCGGGUCUGGGAUAGCGGCGGGAAACUGCCGGUAAUACCAGAUGAUGUCCCCGGACCAAAGGUGUGAUUCCGCUCGAGGAGGAGCCUACGCCCUAUUAGCUAGUUGGCAGGGUAACGGCCUACCAAGGCAAAGAUGGGUAUGGGGUGUGAGAGCAUGCCCCCACUCACUGGGACUGAGACACUGCCCAGACACCUACGGGUGGCUGCAGUCAAGAAUCUUCGGCAAUGGGCGCAAGCCUGACCGAGCGACGCCGCGUGCGGGAUGAAGGCUUUCGGGUUGUAAACCGCUGUCGUAGAGGAGGAAAUGCUAGUGGGUUCUCCCAUUAGCUUGACUGAUUCUAGGAGGAAGGACGGGCUAAGUUCGUGCCAGCCGCCGCGGUAAUAC